rnacentral:rRNA from 1 species
GACUCUCGGCAACGGAUAUCUCGGCUCUCGCAUCGAUGAAGAACGUAGCGAAAUGCGAUACCUGGUGUGAAUUGCAGAAUCCCGCGAACCAUCGAGUCUUUGAACGCAAGUUGCGCCCGAGGCCACUCGGCAGAGGGCACGCCUGCCUGGGCGUCA